AAAAGUAUCGCGAAUUUUGAAUUUUCGCGGGUUACGUAUAUUCGAAUUUCGAAUUUUUUGUGGCGUUAUGUUGGUACUCAUGUCUCUCACUUAUGCCGACAAGCUCGGCCUUUUUGAAUGUUCAUUUAAUUGUUGACAGCUGCUUUGCUUGCACGUGUUUUGGAUCGUCUUCGAUUUUUACCUAUUCAAAAAAAAUGGAUCAAAGAACCUGUAUCAAAUUUUGUGUGAAAAACGAAAUUAAGUGCGCGGAUGCAUUCCGAAUGUUGACUGUGGCAUACGGAGAAGCUACCCUGGACCGAAGCAACGUUUAUCGGUUGUACAAAAUGUUCUCAGAAGGCCGAGAAGAUGUGAACGGCGAAUAGCGUGCCGGACGCCCGAGCACUUCAACAACAGAUGAAAAAAUUAAUGAAGUGGAGAAAAUGGUAUUGGCCAAUCGUCGAAUCACCAUUAGAGAAGUUGCUGAGGACCUAAACAUAUCGAGUGCCAAUUAUGCGCAAUUUGCGCGAAGCAAUCCGCCAGAAACGCCCGGAUUUGUGGAAGAACAAAAAUUGGCUUUUGCUCACACAUCGUUGCUUGUGCGCGACUUUUUGGCCAAAACAACACACUAAUGAUGCCGCAGCCACCGUAUUCCCCAGAUCUGGCCCCCUGUGACUUUUUCUUGUUCCUUAAACUGAAGAGGCCCAUGAAAGGACGACGUUACGCUUCUUUUGACGAGAUAAAGACGGCAUCGAAGGAGGAGCUGAAGAAGAUAAAAAAAAUGAUUUUUUUAAGUGCUUCGAAGAUUGGAAAAACCGUUGGCACAAGUGCAUAAUAUCUCAUGGGGAUUACUUUGAAGGGGACAGAAUAGAUAUUCAUAAAUAAAUAAAUAAUUUUCGAAAAAACACUAAAUUCGCGAUACUUUUUGAACACACCUCGUAUACUACUACAUAUAGACUGCGUAUCGCCCAUAUAUUCCAUAAUAAUAAUAAUAUAGCGUGGUGAUCGUAACCACGGCCUGUAUCGCCACGACGACAAUCAUAGCUACAUAUAUGGGUAUAUGCCAUUACUAUCGUUUCUCCAAGAAGAAAUAAACAACAAUCCGAGAAAAUGAACUACAAGAUAUGGAACAACAAUAGAUGCUGUAUUUAUUAGAUAUUUUGUAAAUGUGAUGUCUAAUACUUUUGUAACAUACUUCAGUUAUCAUCGACCGUCAGAGGCAUCUUCGAAUGUAACUAUUACGGAAGUCACUGAUGAAAAUAAUUGACUUGACGUGAUUUUAAAAAAAUAUUUGGAUAAAAUUUUGUAUAUAAAGAAAAUAAAUGUUUAUUGAAUAAACUAUCUGUCAUCAUUUUCUAGAAAUAAUACUGUAA